UAGGGAAUCUUCGGCAAUGGACGGAAGUCUGACCGAGCAACGCCGCGUGAGUGAAGAAGGUUUUCGGAUCGUAAAGCUCUGUUGUAAGAGAAGAACGAGUGUGAGAGUGGAAAGUUCACACUGUGACGGUAUCUUACCAGAAAGGGACGGCUAACUACGUGCCAGCAGCCGCGGUAAUACGUAGGUCCCGAGCGUUGUCCGGAUUUAUUGGGCGUAAAGCGAGCGCAGGCGGUUAGAUAAGUCUGAAGUUAAAGGCUGUGGCUUAACCAUAGUAGGCUUUGGAAACUGUUUAACUUGAGUGCAAGAGGGGAGAGUGGAAUUCCAUGUGUAGCGGUGAAAUGCGUAGAUAUAUGGAGGAACACCGGUGGCGAAAGCGGCUCUCUGGCUUGUAACUGACGCUGAGGCUCGAAAGCGUGGGGAGCAAACAGGAUUAGAUACCCUGGUAGUCCACGCUGUAAACGAUGAGUGCUAGGUGUUAGACCCUUUCCGGGGUUUAGUGCCGUAGCUAACGCAUUAAACACUCCGCCUGGGGAGUACGACCGCAAGGUUG
rnacentral:rRNA from 1 species